AUUGAACGCUGGCGGCAGGCCUAACACAUGCAAGUCGAGCGGGGUUUUCGGACCUAGCGGCGGACGGGUGAGUAAUGCGUAGGAAGCUACCCGAUAGAGGGGGAUACCAGUUGGAAACGACUGUUAAUACCGCAUAAUGUCUACGGACCAAAGUGUGGGACCUUCGGGCCACAUGCUAUCGGAUGCGCCUACGUGGGAUUAGCUAGUUGGUGGGGUAAGGGCUCACCAAGGCGACGAUCCCUAGCUGGUUUGAGAGGAUGAUCAGCCACACUGGAACUGAGACACGGUCCAGACUCCUACGGGAGGCAGCAGUGGGGAAUAUUGGACAAUGGGCGCAAGCCUGAUCCAGCCAUGCCGCGUGUGUGAAGAAGGCCUUCGGGUUGUAAAGCACUUUCAGUAGGGAGGAAGGGUUAAGUGUUAAUAGUACUUAACCUUGACGUUACCUACAGAAGAAGCACCGGCUAACUCUGUGCCAGCCGCCGCAGUAAGAC
rnacentral:rRNA from 1 species